GACGAGCGCUGGCGGCGUGCCUAAUACAUGCAAGUAGAACGCUGAAGAGAGGAGCUUGCUCUUCUUGGAUGAGUUGCGAACGGGUGAGUAACGCGUAGGUAACCUGCCUUGUAGCGGGGGAUAACUAUUGGAAACGAUAGCUAAUACCGCAUAACAAUGGAUGACCCAUGUCAUUUAUUUGAAAGGGGCAAAUGCUCCACUACAAGAUGGACCUGCGUUGUAUUAGCUAGUAGGUGAGGUAACGGCUCACCUAGGCGACGAUACAUAGCCGACCUGAGAGGGUGAUCGGCCACACUGGGACUGAGACACGGCCCAGACUCCUACGGGAGGCAGCAGUAGGGAAUCUUCGGCAAUGGGGGCAACCCUGACCGAGCAACGCCGCGUGAGUGAAGAAGGUUUUCGGAUCGUAAAGCUCUGUUGUAAGUCAAGAACGAGUGUGAGAGUGGAAAGCUCACACUGUGACGGUAGCUUACCAGAAAGGGACGGCUAACUACGUG
rnacentral:rRNA from 1 species